GGACGAGGAAGAAGAGAAAGAUUCUCUUUCUGUUUCGUCUCAAGAUCGUGUGGAUGAUGACAACACCAAUUCUAGCACCUUUUCUGAUUCUCUCCUCACCAGCGAAUUCUCUGUACCAGUUGAAGAUUUGGCUGAUCUAGAAUGGGUUUCUCAAAUUGUGGAUGAUUCUUCCUCAGAAUUCUCCCUUCAGUACCCUUGGACAGCAGAGAGCCAUGCAAUAAACAACAGAUUUCAACCACAAACCCAGCCGGCCAAAGUUUCAUGUCUUUUCCCUGCUCCAAUCCCAUCCAAGCCAAGAUCCAAACGGCUCAGACCCACCCCUAGGACCUGGUCAGUUGGUUCUCCGAUCACAGACUUAUCAUCAUCUUCUUCUUCUUCUUCUUCUCCGGCAUCAUCUUCUGCUUCAACGCCAUGUCUUGUUCCCGCCAACACUGUCCAAAGCAUUGACUCGUUAUUGACGGAACCACCAAUGAAAAAACCAAAGAAAAAACUUACACCUCAAAUCGGUGGUGCUCUGGGGUCAACCCAGUUCCAGCGGCGGUGUAGUCAUUGUCAGGUUCAAAAGACUCCGCAGUGGAGAACCGGUCCGCUCGGGCCCAAGACGCUAUGUAACGCUUGCGGUGUUCGUUAUAAAUCGGGCCGGCUUUUUCCAGAAUAUAGACCGGCUUGUAGCCCAACCUUUUCAGUGGAUGUUCACUCCAACAGUCAUCGGAGAGUAUUGGAGAUGAGGAAGAAAAAG
rnacentral:misc_RNA from 1 species